UUCCUUAAUUUUUGCUGUUUUCCAGUAUGCUCUACAUCUUGUCUUGGGAGCACCCUUUGAUUUUACAUCUGUAAGUAAUUACCAGUUCAAGUAAUUGACCUUUAUGAUGUUGUAGCAGUUGAAAUAUCAAGAUUUCUCUAUUUUUGUCUUCCAGUGCGACUUUCCAAACAUACGGAGAUGGUGGGCUCUUAUUCUUCUGGAGAACUUUGGGGUUUUCUCUGAAAGUGCAGAAACCCUAUAAGAGUCCCUUCCAUGUGAAGAACAAGCUACGCUUAGCAGCAGUGAGGCGGAGCUCCCAAUAAUCCGGCACAUGAAAGAAGCUGUGAAAUGGCUCCAUUCCAACAGCCAUCUGCUCAGGGGUCCAGUGGAAGAGCCUCUUUUCAUUCGAAUGAAUGAAGACCACAAGGAAAAGGCCCGCAACAAUCUCCUGGAACAGUCAGAAGCUUCCAGAGAGCCCUUUCUAUUUCAUUUUGUGUUCAGGGAUGAC